GAUGCAAUAUUUUCACGAGUGGCAUAGGCACGGGCGAAAUAUGUUUAGCCUAUUCAUGAGUAAAAGAUAUUUGGAUCUUACAUAGAGUGUUGUAGAAGCAAGACGAGGCGGAGGUCGAGCAAGAUAUAGCAGAUACCGCUCUCGUCGGUAUGACUACGGUAGUUACAGGUGACUCUUCUAACGAGUAUGACGGUGGCAGUGGAGGAGGCCUUGGUAUUGGUUCUAUCGUGGCGAUAGUUAUUUGUUUCAUUCUCAUUAUGGCUGCUGUCGUAGUGCUGAUUUACUUCAAAUGUAGAUAACAUUUCUUUAUUGUGACAAUUUGGGUAAAUUUCCUGAUCCAGGAUACUUUUGGAAGGCAAUUAUGUAAAUUAAAUUUUGCAACGUUAUCAGCUGAUAGAGUGCGACUUUAGUACCUGAUACAGAGAAACAUGUAUGGGUUUUAUAACUUUAGUACCUGAUACAGUGAAACAUGUAUGGAUUUUAUAACUUUAGCAUAUGAUACAGUGAAACAUGUAUGGAUUUUAUAACUUUAGCAUAAGUUACAAUGAAACAUGUAUGGAUAUUAUAACUUUAGCAUCUGGUACAGUGAAACAUGUAUGGAUAUUAUAACUUUAGCAUCUGAUACAGAGAAACAUGUAUGGAUAUUAUAACUUUAGCAUCUGAUAGAGAGAAACAUGUAUGGAUUUUAUAACUUAAGCAUAUGAUACAAUGAAACAUGUAUGGAUAUUAUAACUUUAGCAUCUGAUACAGAGAAACAUGUAUGGAUCUGAUACAGAGAAACAUGUAUGGAUAUUAUAACUUUAGCAUCUGAUACAGAGAAACAUGUAUGGAUAUUAUAACUUUAGCAUCUGAUACAGAGAAACAUGUAUGGAUAUUAUAACUUUAGCAUCUGAUACAGAGAAACAUGUAUGGAUUUUAUAACUUAAGCAUAUGAUACAAUGAAACAUGUAUGGAUAUUAUAACUUUAGCAUCUGGUACAGAGAAACAUGUAUGGAUAUUAUAACUUUAGCAUCUGAUACAGUGGAUACAUUGAAAUGUGUAUGGAUUUUCUACCUUUAGCUUUUGAUAUAGUAGAUACGGCCAGGAUUUAACGAUUGUAUUAUCAAAUACAUCGAAACAUAAAGUGAAUUCAAUAUACUCUUCAGUUGAUAAAGCGGAUACAGGGAAAUUUGUAAAUAUAAAUUCAACAGCUUACAACGUAAACAUGUUUCAGGUGCAGAUCAUCUGUUUUAUAUUUGUGUUAACUUGAGCAUUUGUUUUGUUUCAAUAAAUAUACAAGAAUU
rnacentral:lncRNA from 1 species